rnacentral:other from 1 species
AGGCCCCUGCGCGGUUAGUGAUGAGCGAUACUAUUGGUGAACCAACACCUAUUUGAUGGGGGCCCGGUCCUCGCCGGGCAGGCGUUGUCGCGCUGCGGUGCGACGACCGAAGCCCGGCGGGCAGGUCCCCGCCUGUAGACCACAGGUUCAAAUAGGGUUGCUCACACGGCCGAGAGCGGGGGCACU